rnacentral:rRNA from 1 species
GAUGAACGCUGGCGGCGUGCCUAAUACAUGCAAGUCGAGCGAACAGACGAGGAGCUUGCUCCUCUGACGUUAGCGGCUGACGGGUGAGUAACACGUGGAUAACCUACCUAUAAGACUGGGAUAACUUCGGGAAACCGGAGCUAAUACCGGAUAAUAUAUUGAACCGCAUGGUUCAAUAGUGAAAGACGGUUUUGCUGUCACUUAUAGAUGUAUCCGCGCCGCAUUAGCUAGUUGGUAAGGUAACGGCUUACCAAGGCAACGAUGCGUAGCCGACCUGAGAGGGUGAUCGGCCACACUGGAACUGAGACACGGUCCAGACUCCUACGGGAGGCAGCAGUAGGGAAUCUUCCGCAAUGGGCGAAAGCCUGACGGAGCAACGCCGCGUGAGUGAUGAAGGUCUUCGGAUCGUAAAACUCUGUUAUUAGGGAAGAACAAAUGUGUAAGUAACUAUGCACGUCUUGACGGUACCUAAUCAGAAAGCCACGGCUAACUACGUG